CAUUCAUCAAUUAAGCUGCGGUUAACCGCAGCUUCAGGGAGGUUAAUUGCCCGCACACUCCAGCUCCCAGGUGGUCCAGUCAUUCGUACGGUUGUUCGGUAGAUUGAAACUACCGAACAACCGUCAGAAAAGCACGAAUACAGCUUUUCUGCAUGCAAAAAUAAAGUCUUUUAAAAGGGGACCAUAGUCCAAAGGCAGCAGGCGAGCAACCAGGCUUCUCCAAUGCAAUGUGGCGAGAUUGGUCUCGUCACAGCUGGUAUCAUCAAAGAUGAGCUUGUGGGGCCUUUUCGGGUUGAGGAUGGAGUCAAGCUCAACUCCCAGUCCUACUGCCAGUUCC